rnacentral:rRNA from 1 species
GAUGAACGCUGGCGGCGUGCCUAAUACAUGCAAGUCGAGCGAACGGACGAGAAGCUUGCGUCUCUGAUGUUAGCGGCGGACGGGUGGGUAACACGUGGAUAACCUACCUAUAAGACUGGGAUAACUUCGGGAAACCGGAGCUAACACCGGAUGAUAUUUUGAACCGCAUGGUUCAAAAGUGAAAGACGGUCUUGCUGUCACUUAUAGAUGGAUCCGCGCUGCAUUAGCUAGUUGGUAAGGUAACGGCUUACCAAGGCAACGAUGCAUAGCCGACCUGAGAGAGUGAUCGGCCACACUGGAACUGAGACACGGUCCAGACUCCUACGGGAGGCAGCAGUAGGGAAUCUUCCGCAAUGGGCGAAAGCCUGACGGAGCAACGCCGCGUGAGUGAUGAAGGUCUUCGGAUCGUAAAACUCUGUUAUUAGGGAAGAACAUAUGUGUCAGUAACUGUGCACAUCUUGACGGUACCUAAUCAGAAAGCAACGGCUAACUACGUG